UGUUCAAUACUUGUUUUAUCUGUGAUGUUUCCGAAACCCAGUGCAAUUAUAUAUCUGCUACUGAUAUUAAUUUGUUAUUGUGUUCCAAAAAUGUCCUAACUCUUCGCUGAUCUAUGUGAUGAGAUUUAUAUUUUAUUUUUGGUCUAUUCAUUACAUUAUUUAGACAGGAAAAAUUGAGAGACAAAGAUCACCAGGGGUUGAACAUUGCUGCUCAGGUAGGGAGAGGCUUUUGGCCCACCGUGCCCAUUCUCUUGCAACCUUUUGUUUUGAUUUCUUGUAGUCUGGGUCGGGGAAUGGCAUCUGCCAUUCGACAAUACUCUUUGUGAUUUUGCAGCAGUAGCAUUUGCUACGGAUUACAUGGCUGCGAAUCUGCAAAUGCUGCAUACUGCUAACGGAGUAGUAUAUGCGUUUUUUUGUACUUCUUUUUGCCUCUCACCUCCCAACAACGCGACGCUCUCGGACACCGGUUGCCGGGCAACCAGUGCCAAGCAGACGCGCAGCCCGAUGGCGCGACGUCGCGUCGCGUUUGGCGGGCUCGGCCCCGAAGCACGCGAAGCACGUCGCGACGCCGUCCGACGUCACUUUCGAGAUCGUUCCAUGGACUCGGUCAGGGACUCGGCGUCCGCCGGAGACUGGAGUCGCCCCGGCACGCCGUCCGGCGCCAGCCAGGACGCCGACGACAGCGGCAGCGAGGAGUGAGUACGAGCGAGGAGCCGGCGGUGUGCGCCGACCUGGCCAGGGAGCGCGCGCUGGUGCCGCACAUGCACCAUCCUCUGGUACUGCUGGUCAAGAGGCAGAUACGGCGCCUGGAGUCCGAGACCCUGGUGCUGACGCCGAGGCUGUCGCUGCCGGCGCCGGCGGCGCUGUGCCCAGCCGCCCGCGGCCCGCUCGCCCUGCACGUCGAGCACCCCCUGCUGAUGCACGCGCUGGUGGUGCUGGCCCCCGUCCUGGCGCUGCUCGUCGUGGUGCUCCUGUCCGCCGUGGCCGCCACUCUCGGGGCGCUGGCCUCGCCCUGGCAGCCGCCGCCGCCGCGGGAGCCGUCCUGCCUCAGCCGCCUGCUCGCCGCCUUCCUACCCUCCUGGAGCAGCCACGACGACCCGCCUCUCGUCCGGCCAUUCUAACAACAUUCUAAGAACUGACGGACAACAAUUAGUUUAAUGUUUUUAUGCGCCCCAGUGCACGUAUGGUUCUCUUACCAUGUUCUUACGCCUCAAUGUGUCUAAGGGCGGUUUUAGUUUAUACCCUCUAACAUAGGAAGUCAGUAGGAUUAAUUUUACAUACUUUCGUACUAUUGAAUUUUACAAUUUUAUUUUGUUCGUGCUCGACAUGUCAACUUUGUAAGUGUCAAGUACUC